rnacentral:tRNA from 1 species
UAUAGCUCAGUGGUACAGCACAUGCUUGGCAAGUAUGAAGCCCUGAGUUCAACUCUCAGUA